GGGGUGGUAGUUCAGCUGGUUAGAAUAUCUCACUGUCACUGAGAAGGUCGCGGGUUCGAGUCCCGUCCACCCCG
rnacentral:tRNA from 1 species